rnacentral:rRNA from 1 species
AACAGGAUUAGAUACCCUGGUAGUCCACGCCCUAAACGAUGUCUACUAGUUGUCGGGUUUUAAUUAACUUGGUAACGCAGCUAACGCGUGAAGUAGACCGCCUGGGGAGUACGGUCGCAAGAUUAAAACUCAAAGGAAUUGACGGGGACCCGCACAAGCGGUGGAUGAUGUGGAUUAAUUCGAUGCAACGCGAAAAACCUUACCUACCCUUGACAUGUCAGGAACCUCCGAGAGAUUGGAGGGUGCCCGAAAGGGAACCUGAACACAGGUGCUGCAUGGCUGUCGUCAGCUCGUGUCGUGAGAUGUUGGGUUAAGUCCCGCAACGAGCGCAACCCUUGUCAUUAGUUGCUACAUUUAGUUGAGCACUCUAAUGAGACUGCCGGUGACAAACCGGAGGAAGGUGGGGAUGACGUCAAGUCCUCAUGGCCCUUAUGGGUAGGGCUUCACACGUCAUACAAUGGUACAUACAGAGGGCCGCCAACCCGCGAGGGGGAGCUAAUCCCAGAAAGUGUAUCGUAGUCCGGAUCGUAGUCUGCAACUCGACUACGUGAAGUUGGAAUCGCUAGUAAUCGCGGAUCAGCAUGUCGCGGUGAAUACGUUCCCGGGUCUUGUACACACCGCCCGUCACACCAUGGGAGCGGGUUUUACCAGAAGUAGGUAGCUUAACCGCAAGGAGGGCGCUUACCACGGUAGGAUUCGUGACUGGGGUGAAGUCGUAACAAGGUAACC